GCUCAGAAACUACAAGGAAUUGACGGGGCCCGGCACAAGCGGUGGAGUAUGUGGUUAAUUCGAUGCAACGCGAAGAACCUUACCUGGUCUUGACAUCCCGGAGACCCUUAGGAAACUAGGGGUGCUUCCAUCUGGAAGAAUCUGGAGACAGGUGCUGCAUGGCUGUCGUCAGCUCGUGUCGUGAGAUGUUGGGUUAAGUCCCGCAACGAGCGCAACCCUUGCCUUUAGUUGCCAGCAGUUCGGCUGGGCACUCUAAAGGGACUGCCGGUGUUAAACCGGAGGAAGUGGGGAUGACGUCAAGUCCUCAUGGCCUUUAUGACCAGGGCUACACACGUACUACAAUGGCCGAUACAAAGGGCAGCGACACUGCGAGGUGAAGCCAAUCCCGUAAAAUCGGUCUCAGUCCGGAUUGGAGUCUGCAACUCGACUCCAUGAAGUUGGAAUCGCUAGUAAUCGUGGAUCAGCAUGCCACGGUGAAUACGUUCCCGGGCCUU
rnacentral:rRNA from 1 species